CUAGGUCACACCUCUCAAAGGUUUCAGGACUUUCCUAGUGAUCACCAUAGCCUAGGAUCACUAGGGACCUUUAGGAACAUUCAGACAACCCUCAUACCGUGACACUAUGUCCCCUGUGAUGCCUAUUCUUGGUUGUCAACUUUACUAUACCUGAAAUGAACUACAAUCCAGAAAUAGAGGGUACACCUGUGAGAGAUACUCUGCUUGGUUUAAAGUGGGUGAAUCCACAUCCAGUCUGGAUCUUUGAGGUAGGAAGACACACCUCUGUCCAGAUAUUGAGACAUCCAUUCCUUCACUGGCACUGGAGCCUACUUCUUCAAGAUUCCAGCAUAUACAGAAGACCAGCUGAGAUACCCAGCCUUGUGGGACUGGGCAACUACUAGAUUCUUAGACUUUCCAUUCGCGGCUAGCCAUUAUUGGAUUAGUUGGACUUGUGGCCUGGUAAAGACGUGAGCAAGGUGCCAUUGAUCUGUCACGCAUCCCACUGAAAAUGUCUGAGUUAAUGAAGUGUUCAGGCUCAAAGAGAUUUGGAAGUUGAACGGCACAUUAAGGAUCUCUGUAUUUAUUUUAUUUA